GUUGCAGUUAAAAAGCUCGUAGUUGGAUUUCUGUGGGGGCGGAGCGGCCGGCCGCAACUUGCGGUUCGAGCUAGCGCUUCCCCUACAUCCUGCCGCGAACCGUGCUACCAUUAGUUUGGUGGCGCCGGGGAUCGGCUCGUUUACUUUGAGAAAAAUAGAGUGUUCAAAGCAGGCCACACGCCUUGAAUAAGUUAGCAUGGAAUAAUAAUUAAGGACUUCGGUUCUAUUUUGUUGGUGUUCGGGACUGAAGUAAUGAUUGAUAGGGACAGUUGGGGCGGUCAGUAUUCCAAAGCGAGAGGUGAAAUUCUUAGACCUUCGGAAGACUAACAGCUGCGAAAGCGUUCCGCAAGGAUGUUCCCUUUGAUCAAGAACGAAAGUUGGGGGAUCGAAGACGAUCAGAUACCGUCGUAGUCUCAACUAUAAACUACACCAGCUAGGGAUCGGUCAACGUUAAAUUAUUCGACUUGAUCGGCACCUUAUGAGAAAUCAAAGCAUCUGGGUUCCGGGGGGAGUAUGGUCGCAAGGCUGAAACUUAAAGGAAUUGACGGAAGGGCACCACCAGCCGUGGAGCCUGUGGCUUAAUUUGACUCAACACGGGAAAACUUACCAGGUCCAGACAUAG
rnacentral:rRNA from 1 species